AUUGGAUGAAUUACAAAAGCUUUUUGAGAACAGAGCCGGAUUAUCCAAUGGGCAAAGUGGGCCCGGCCCAGGGCGCUGGGAAAAUUGGGGCGCUGAGAUGUGAGAAUUUUAGGCGCUCAGAAGUGAGAAAUCAAAUGUUUUGAAAUU